GUUUCAUCUCUGGACGAGACUUUCGGCCGCCGAAGGUGCCGCCGAACAUGCAUGAGUUUCGUCUCUGGAGAGGGGUUUCGGCCGCCGAACCUGCCGCCGAACGUGCCCUGUCCAGCUUUCUUUUGCAUGUUUUAUGUGAUUGUUUGAGGAUCUUUUAGAGGGUUUUUGGGGAGUUUCUUAGAGAUGUUCUUGAGUUAGUUUGGUCCCUCAUUUGA
rnacentral:lncRNA from 1 species